rnacentral:rRNA from 1 species
UACAGAGGAGCCAAGCGUUGUCCGGAUUGACUGGGCGUAAAGCGCACGCAGGCGGUCGCGCGCGUGGGGUGUGAAAUCUGGCCGCUUAACGGCCAGGCGCCAUCCCAUACGGCGCGUCUGGAGUGAUGCAGAGGUCGAUGGAAUUGCCGGUGUAGUGGUGAAAUGCGUAGAGAUCGGCAGGAACACCCAGGGGGAAACCAGUCGACUGGGCAUCUACUGACGCUGAGGAGCGAAAGCGUGGGGAGCGAACAGG